CUUGACUGUAGCUUGGAAUUGGGUUCGGGCUCUUCUUGCGCAGCCUAGGUGGGAGGCGUUGAAAGCUUUCUUUUGGGGAAGCUGGAGCCAUCAGUGAGAGACCACUCUGGAGGAGCUAGAAUUCUAAUGGCGUUCCUUGAAGCAGGACGCUUGACAGUUUCAGGUGGGCAGUUUGACCGGGGCGGUCACCUCCUAAAAGGUAACGGAGGCGCGCAAAGGUUCUCUCAGGCUGGUUGGAAAUCAGCCGUAGAGUGUAAAGGCAUAAGAGAGCUUGACUGCAAGACCUACAAGUCGAGCAGGAGCGAAAGCUGGCCUUAGUGAUCCGACGGUUCCGUGUGGAAGGGCCGUCGCUCAACGAAUAAAAGUUA
rnacentral:rRNA from 1 species